rnacentral:misc_RNA from 1 species
GAUGAAGAACGUAGCGAAAUGCGAUAAGUAGUGUGAAUUGCAGAAUUCAGUGAAUCAUCGAAUCUUUGAACGCACAUUGCGCCUCCUGGCAUUCCGGGAGGCAUGCCUGUUUGAGCGUCAUUAAAAUCACUCAAGCCUCGCUUGGUAUUGGGCAACGCGGUCCGCCGCGUGCCUCAAAUCGACCGGCUGGGUCUUCUGUCCCCUAAGCGUUGUGGAAACUAUUCGCUAAAGGGUGUUCGGGAGGCUACGCCGUAAAACAACCCCAUUUCUAAGGUUGACCUCGGAUCAGGUAGGGAUACCCGCUGAACUUAAGCAUAUCAAUAAGCGGAGGA